rnacentral:rRNA from 1 species
UACGUAGGUGCAAGCGUUGUCCGGAAUUAUUGGGCGUAAAGAGCUCGUAGGCGGUUUGUUGCGUCGGCCUGUGAAAUCCCCGAGGCUCAACCUCGGGUCUGCAGUCGAUACGAGCAAACUAGAGUGUUGCAGGGGAGACUGGAAUUCCUGGUGUAGCGGUGAAAUGCGUAGAUAUCUGGAGGAACACCGGUGGCGAAGGCGGCAUCCUGGAC